rnacentral:lncRNA from 1 species
UCGACGGAGACUUUUUUGCUACCCUUGAGCAAGCAACGACAAAGCCGAGUGAGAUUUGCAAAGACACUGCAGAAUGAUUCUCGUCCUGCUCCUUAUAUCCCCAAUCAUUACACAAUACAAAGUUGAACUUUCAUGCAAUAUUGAUUUGCAUAGCAUGUUUUUUUGGGUCAUACUUUAUCUUCUGAACAUAUAUUAACCUCUAUGCAAACAGAUAAAUGAUGUAUAUGUGUGGAUGUCAGCAUAUUCUUAUGUUUUCUAGGUCACAACUGUGCCUUUUGUUGGGAAAAAUAACCUGCUGAGUACAUCACAUGUACAUUACAAAUAUAGCUAACUCCUACCCUAGCCUGAUGAGCACAUCACAUGGCAGGCACAUUACAAUAUAGUCAACUCUUGCUCUAACCCAACGAACACAUAACACAAACAUGAUAAUAUAGUCAGGUCAAGGCCGGAGCUGAAGGCCCCAUUUCCCAACCAGGCAAAUGGUGGACACUCAGACAAUGCACCAGUCAUCCUCAAGAACGGGAGAGCCACAUUAAUUUAUCACACAGGAGACAUUUUGAGAGCUCUCCCCCGUUAGGAGGAACCAAGAGAUACACCUGCCCAUACCAGGGCCUGAGAGCCACAUUAAAUUAUCACACAGGAGACACUUCGGGGGGGCGCUCCCCCGUUUUAAUUUAUCACACAGGAGACAUUUUGAGAGCUCUCCCCCGUUAGGAGGAACACAAGAAGAUACACAUGCACAUACCAGGGCCUGAGAGCCAAGGUCAAGCAAAAACAAACAGAACCACGCACACCUCAAACGCACACACCUCAUCGAGAGGAGGAUACAGCAUAAGACUGUAUCACACAGGGCCUGAGAGCCAAGGUCAAGCAAAAACACACAGAACCACGCACACCUCAAACGCACACACCUCAUCGAGAGGAGGAUACAGCAUAAGACUGUAUCACACAGGGACUCUUCAUCUUCUUCUGGAGCAGACCUUCCACGGAGGCGAAGCUCUGGACGAACCAUCAGCGCUGAUUAGGGACUUAGACAUAUUCGAUCUCUCACGCUUUAUGACUCUGUAUAACCGUUGCCACUUUACUUAAUAAAUCCAAGGUCCUCGUGCCGACAGACUUUAUUACCUCUCCGUCUCAUUUCAUCUGGUCCAGUAACUAGACAGACCGUUUUUCCCCUCAAAUGGCAGGAUCUCGCUUGAGACAUCCUGGAGGAGAGAGGAGGGGAUAGCGUCAAGGGGGCAGGUGGUGGCAUGGUUAGAUGUUAUUAUUCCGUUGACCUCGUCAGAGGUGAGAGGGCUAAAUUGGGUAAAGACAGAGGAGGGGAUGGGAGGAGGGAGAAUGGAGGCAGGGAUAAAAGAGGAGCUAAUG